GGAGAGGUGCGAGAGUGGUUGAAUCGGCCGGCCUCGAAAGCCGUUGUAGUCGAAAGGCUACCGUGGGUUCGAAUCCCACCCUCUCCGCCA
rnacentral:tRNA from 1 species